AUAUCAAUAAGCGGAGGAAAAGAAACUAACAAGGAUUCCCCUAGUAACGGCGAGUGAAGCGGGAUGAGCUCAAAUUUGAAAUCUGGCUGGUUUACUAGUCCGAGUUGUAAUUUAAAGAAGCGUUUUCGGUGGCAGCCUGGGUAUAAAUCCUUUGGAAUAGGGUAUCAUAGAGGGUGAGAAUCCCGUCUUUGACCUAGUGCAUGCUACUAUGUGAUACGUUUUCAAAGAGUCGAGUUGUUUGGGAAUGCAGCUCAAAAUGGGUGGUAAAUUUCAUCUAAAGCUAAAUAUUGGCGAGAGACCGAUAGCGAACAAGUACCGUGAGGGAAAGAUGAAAAGAACUUUGAAAAGAGAGUUAAACAGUGC
rnacentral:rRNA from 1 species